CUUCAGCUCUGCCUUUGUCUUCACUUCCCACACAUCCAGAGCCUCCAGGACAGCUAGGGCCGAAAGACUGAGGACUCCUCAGGCCUUUCCUGAGAACUCUCACAAAGCCAUGCAUGUGUGCUAGCAUUCUGGAUUCUCCCAACACUCCAUUAGAACCUCUCUAAACCCAGUGGCCAGCUGGUUCCCCAUAUUUUCUUCUCAGGCUUUCUGGGUAGUCUGGUAUUUGUCUCAGCUCUUAUCUACUGUGUCUGGCAGAUAGAAAGUCAAUUUCUUCCAGUCGUUUUCAACAAAUGUCUCCAGAGGAAAAGCUUUCUGUACUGGAAGUUGGGUAAAAUAAAGACGUGCUUGCUGGUGAGGUCUUCCAGGAACCUGUAAGGCGGGUCCAGCCUUGACUCUGAAGACAAGGUGUGGAAGGGAGCUCUGGCUGGGUGGGGCUGGCUGCCCUUCUGUGGGGCUGGCUGCAAGUUUACCUGGCUGGGUGAAUGGCCGACAGACAGUGAGUGAGUGACAAAGCUUCCCGGUCAGAGACUCUUUGAAUCCAACUUAAAGGAACUGGGAACUGACGUCAUAGUAUGCAGUUCUGAGGGCCUGAGUCCAGGGUGGUCCUGGGGGGGGGGGGUGAGCAGUAGAAAAGAUCAUUGGAAAAGUGGAACAGAGUGAAUUAGAGGUAACGAGAGAGAGGGGGGGGAGAAGUAGUCCGGGGCCUCUUAUCCACUGUAAAGGAGUUGACCUCACUGACAGAAACAGGGCUCAUGAAAGGUUUGACAAAAAUGAUGGAGACUGACACCCUCCAGUCAGGGCAGAGUGGAAUAGGAGGGUCAGUUCAGGGAAUUUCAGCACCCUGACAGGAAGGAGUCCAGUAGCUAGACAUCUGAGAUGAUUAGACAGGUUCAGGUGGGGACGCAUUUGAGAAGUCCAGUCCUCAGGAUGGAUUGAAUGUGGUAGCUGAGGAAAGAGUCCUUCACUCUGACCCAAACACCUGGGAGGAGGGAACCAUGGGAGUGGAAGUUCAGUAUGGGUACUAAAACAGUGAGACAUAUCCAGAGCACACCGAGGAGAGUGGAGGAAGAGGAGAAUGACAUGCAAAAUCACAAGAGAGGAUGGGUUCACUGGAGAAAAGAUGAGGUUAAAUCAGAAAUGUGGAAGUUGGAGCCUAAAUCCCAAGCCUGUAUAUCUGAGAAACAAGAAGCCAAAGUGUUGUUGCGCCCCCUGCCCCCAAGUUGAAAGUCAUAUUGUGGUCUGGGAGAAGAUGACUCAUACCAGACUGGUGACACCAACUAAGGAGAUAAUGUCAUGAAGAAGGAAGAUGCCUUCCCACAUGAGCCCACUACCAAGAUCCACCGAGCAAGCUAUUCUCCAGUGCAAAGAUGGCAUGUCUGGAGAGAAAGAAGGAGGUGGUCAUAAUGACAACAAAUAGAAACCGACCAGUGUGUGGGGUUCUGAGUCUGGGAUGCUGGAAAGGCACAUGUGGUUCUAGACAGUUCUGCAUGCGUGUGCCACCAUAGGACUGGACCUACCAACUUUGUGUUGUUAUGGAAUUGCAAAUGAAUGCAACAGCAGAUCCCACUAUAGCCAGAAUGUGCAGCUCUGACACCUCAGCAGUCACUGAUAGAACGGAGCCCAGGUUGCUGUUCAGGCCAUGCCCACCUGUAGCAGCCUCUUGCUGGAAAGGACAUAGAAACCCCUAGGAGAGUUGUCUGUGAAGCACUAACCCUCUUGCAGGCUUCCAAUGAAACCCAGCUGGACACAGGGGAACACGGGUUCAGGGACAGCCUCUGAAGAAGCUGCAGUUCAAUUGAGGAAGAAAAACACGUUUUCUUUCUGUCUCUGCCAAUUUGGACAGUAGAGAGAGUUGAUUUCAAGGGGACCUUGGGGAAAUAAGAGGAAACCGACUUUGAAGUAAACGUGGGGAGAGGCUGUGGGAGGAAAGACCACAGGCUGCCAAAGCGCUUCUCAGAAGGAAGAGGUCUUGUGGCCAGGGAGAUCAGGGACGGGAGAGGGGCAUAGUCAGGGCCGCAGACUGUAUCAGGGCCUACUGGGGCAAAGGCCUGGUUUCAAUUUUCUCAUGCAGCAGUUCUCAGCACCUUCCAGCUCUGAACGACAGUGAAGAGUUCCAGGGUACCUAGGAGCCAGAUGUCACCUCACACACAGCAAUGACUGUGGAGAUUUUCUGUGCCCAGGCAUUCCUCAUGACUCACCCCUCCCGCCUCUGCACUGUCCAACCAUGGCUCCAUUGUCUCAGAGAUAAACAUAGGCUGCACAUACUUUGCCAGCUUCUUCUCUCUUUAUUGUAAUUCAGAAUGUCUAGUAAAGAGAAUGGGCCUGCAACAACUUCCUACAGAAUUCCCAGAUGAAUCACUUCUUCAUUUUAUCGUCGGUUUUUCUUUUAUUUAAAUCUAAAAGCAGUAAUGCUCAAGUUGUUAUUCACCAGAGUGUAAGCUAGGAAUUCUGAAGCCACUAAACACACAUAUAAGAGAGUAACAAACAAAUAGGGAGGAUGGUGAUAGUUGGGCUGAGCUCCUCAGUAUGGGCCUGAGUUAAAGAGCAGUGCAAGAUGAGGCCAAGAUAAUCCAAGAAACAGAGAGUAGAGCUGCAGAAGCCAGGAGGACCUGAACGAGGCUCAGAACAGGUGCAGAUGGUUCCGUGUGGGAACAUCCAUAGACACAGAUGCAUACAUAUGUCCCCAAGCCCUCCCUCCUGUGAAAGCCUAAAGACAAGAUCUCAGCAACCUUGAGCACCAGUGCCCAGCAUUGCUCCCAGCUCCACCACAGUAGCCAGACUCUGGGUCUGGAGAGAAGCAUCCCCUUCUAGCGCUGCAGCAGGAGAUAGAAAACAUGACCAAGGGACCUCCUAUAGAGAACUAAGGAAGUGCUCAAAAACAAAGUGAUGGGCGCAAGCAAGGGGACCGAGACAUCAAUAGAAAAAUCCAGGAAAGUCCAAGCUGGGAAAAUGUGAUUCGCAUAGACAAGCCUCACUGUAAGUAAAUCUCCAAGAGGUCACACCCAAAGAAACAAAGGAUGAACCAAACAAAUGGAUGUAGAAGUAGGUCUCCCAUGCAGAGGCAUUUCGAAGUCUGUACAAUAGAAGAGGCGCCUGGAACUCCCCACUGCUGGGUGUGGAUGUCCAUGGAGACUCUCCUGCCCACUGUUGAAUGAACCUAGGAGCAGUGUAAGAGAGUCUUGGUUGUUCUGGAGGAACCUGAGCAUUCCCAUAGGGUGGUCCAGGCCAAUAGAAACCACCCUGAGCUGAUGAUAGCAUGACCCUGUGACACGGGAUUCUCCUUCAGCUAUGAAGUCUUCCUUCCAAUGGCCUCCAGUGCCAGGCUACCCGUGAGAAAACACAAUAGUCACUGAGGUACAGUUGACAAAUUACAGGCCAGCAACCUCAAGCUGCCAAGGUCAUAAAAACAAGGAGUUUGUCACUACUUAGGGGCAUCUAAGCAGAUGUCCUGACAACUAUAGAGACUAGCAAUGUGUCCAUCUUCAGGGAUCCAUAAAAUACCAGUCCUAGCUUGUAGGUCCCCUGAGCAACCCACUGCAACAUUUCUGCCCUGCUUGAUACUUGGGGAAGGUGCCAAGGAAGCAAACACAGAGCCCAUUCUUUGGGCAUCCAUAAGGCCACAGAUGUCAUAGGACAUAAUGGAACCAAAAUAUAACACUAGAUAAAAACAAUGGAAAUAUGAAUAAACUGAUCAUAGUUUGUUGGCACACAUUGAGACUGGACCAUUAAUUGUAUCAUAUGCACCAUACUAAUAUAAGGUGGUAAGCCAAGCAUGGCAGCUCAUUCCUGUAAUCCCAGAACUGGAAUACUGAGGUAAAGGAAUGCUAUGGGUUGAGGCCAAUAGGGAGUAUAGAACAAGAUCCUGUCUCAAAAAAAAUGGUAAUAACAGAAACAGCGUGUGGAAUGUGGAACCUGU